AUAGAAUUCUACGUAGAUACGUCAUCGUUUUCAUUUCUCCGUAAACACCAAUAAGUUCACCAAAAAAAUCUCUCUCUGAAAAAUACACCAAAAAAAAUCAAAAAUCAGAAAAAUCCCAUUUUAAUUCUUCAAUAAAAAAAGGCGUCAUGUCUUCCACCACCGGCGGCGUCGCGCAACUCUACUUCUGCUACAAGUGCAACCGAACGGUAACAAUAACUCCACCAGCCACCGCUCUCUCAUGCCCUAACUGUCACGAAGGUUUCCUCGAAGAACUCGAUUCUCCAAACCCUAGCCCUAACCCUUUAGAUGGUGGUCUCGGCCCCGCCCUCUUACUCGACGACUUCGCCUCCAUUUUUGGUGGCAUGAACCCCACUCCUCGAUCAUCGACCACGUCAACAACAACAACAAACUCCUCCUCUGCGUCGCCACUAUUUCAAGAUCCCGACGGUUUCAAUCCUUUCGUGUUCCUGCAAAAUUACCUGCAAACCAUGAGGGCCGGCGGAGCGAAUAUUCAGUUUGUGAUUGAAAAUAAUCCUGGUAUGGGCGGAAUGGACCCCACCGGAUUUCGUGUUCCGGCGAAUCUCGGAGAUUACUUCAUCGGACCAGGGUUAGAACAACUAAUUCAACAGCUUGCGGAGAAUGAUCCUAAUAGGUAUGGAACUCCGCCGGCCGCGAAAUCUGCGGUUGAAAAUCUUCCUGAUGUCAAGGUAACAGAGGAAUUAAUGCAAUCGGAUUCUUCACAGUGUGCAGUUUGUAAGGAUAGUUUUGAGCCAGGGGAGGUAGCUAAACAAAUUCCUUGUAAGCAUAUCUAUCAUAAGGAUUGUAUCACGCCUUGGCUUGAAUUGCAUAAUUCGUGUCCGGUUUGUAGAUAUGAGUUGCCUACCGAUGAUCAGGAUUACGAGCAGAGGAAAGGGGAUGGGAGUAAUGGGGUUAAUCAAAAUGUGGGUGGUGGAAUUAGCAGUGGUGGGUCGUUUAGUGACGGUGAUAAUAGCGAUGGAAAUGCUCAGACACCGAGAGAGAGGAGGUUUAGGAUUCCAUUUCCAUGGCUGUUUAGUAGUGGUAGUGGUAGGUCGGCUGGGUCGUCGGCAGAGGCCAGCAAUAGCCGGAGUGGGGACAACAAUGAUGGGAAUUCAAGAGGGAAUACCAACUUUGGAUCUGACACUAGAGAAGAGGAUCUUGAUUGAUUAUUGCUGCUGGAUGCUUGGUGUUAAAAUGUGGCAUGACAAGCAUGAGCACGACAAUCAAUUGCAUGCUUCUGACUCUGGUUUCUUGGGAGCUCUCAACUGCAAGCAGGAUUAUCAUGUUUGCCUAUGAACAGAACACAUGAAAGGAUGAUACCUGGAAGGGUUGUUGAAUGUAGAAAGAACUUGCGCACAUUCUCUUCUCCUUUUCUUGCUUCAUGCAUGUUCUGUAAAUGCCUGUUUUUAAAUUAUUUUCACAAUUGUUGCUAGCUUCACCUUCUUAGGACUAAUUCAUGCACAAAUUCGCUUGGUUCUGUAAGUUCUUCUUUGUUUGAGCAUCAU